rnacentral:misc_RNA from 1 species
UUCUGACAGUUCUUACAUGGUCGCAGGCACGGAAGGAAAAGUUCCGUUAUAAGUUUUAAUGACUGCCAGGUCGAAACAAUUGCUUUCCGCCCGACAGAAAGGAACAAAACUGUCUAGGGUAGUGUACAGGCAACCAGGGUGAAAUUUGCAAGAUGAGUUACAGCGACAGCUUAAAGAUCCGAUGACAUCCGAUGCUUUUGUCUACCACAACGGCAAAAACGCGGCAUUUUUCUUCUUCUAUUUUUUCCUUUUAUCCAGACCAGUAUCGUAUAAACCCGUUAAUUAAAUUAUCGUCUGAUUAUCAUCGAGUGCUGAGGCUGCAAUAUCGUGAAAGAGAUCGCGCAUUAAUUCAAUAAACUUGAUGAGGAACGAUCGUGCCAAUUUACAAGGAUUAUCAAGAAUGAUGGUGUCUCUGUCUCAUUUACGACAACCGAAGGGGAUCGAAAAAUAAGAGCAUCAUAAUGUCCUCGCAUUCUUCAGCACCGGUGGACACGUUCCUCUCCCUACUUCUGCUCCUUUCUCUUUCCUGCCCUCCUCGGGGAUUUGUGUCUUUAUCAAUGCUGAUCAUCGCGCUUAAUCCUCCGCCCAAAAGUCGUUACAACACGACAUGACUCUCAUCCACAGCGUUCGAGGGCCAGACUUUGUCACGGAUCCCCGAUGUAAUUAAAUUAUAUUCUGAUUAGUUUUCGAGUAGAUACCGAUGAGUUAAUUUAUUUCGAUAAUUUCAUCGUUGCGCCGAUGUGGAAUUGUUAACAACAAAAGUAUUUUUUCUUCUCUUUUUUUUAUUAAAUAAUCAUAAAUGAGUUAAAUGGCUACAUUGUGUUGCAAAAGUGGACU